rnacentral:rRNA from 1 species
CGAGCGGACCGACGGGAGCUUGCUCCCUUAGGUCAGCGGCGGACGGGUGAGUAACACGUGGGUAACCUGCCUGUAAGACUGGGAUAACUCCGGGAAACCGGGGCUAAUACCGGAUGCUUGAUUGAACCGCAUGGUUCAAUCAUAAAAGGUGGCUUUUAGCUACCACUUGCAGAUGGACCCGCGGCGCAUUAGCUAGUUGGGGAGGUAACGGCUCACCAAGGCGACGAUGCGUAGCCGACCUGAGAGGGUGAUCGGCCACACUGGGACUGAGACACGGCCCAGACUCCUACGGGAGGCAGGAGUAGGGAAUCUUCCGCAAUGGACGAAAGUCUGACGGAGCAACGCCGCGUGAGUGAUGAAGGUUUUCGGAUCGUAAAACUCUGUUGUUAGGGAAGAACAAGUACCGUUCGAAUAGGGCGGGACCUUGACGGUACCUAACCAGAAAGCCACGGCUAACUACGUGCCAGCAGCCGCGGUAAUACGUAGGUGGCAAGCGUUGUCCGGAAUUAUUGGGCGUAAAGCCCGCGCAGGCGGUUUCUUAAGUCUGAUGUGAAAGCCCCCGGCUCAA